rnacentral:rRNA from 1 species
UUGAACGCUGGCGGCAUGCCUUACACAUGCAAGUCGAACGGCAGCACGGGGGCAACCCUGGUGGCGAGUGGCGAACGGGUGAGUAAUACAUCGGAACGUGUCCUGUAGUGGGGGAUAGCCCGGCGAAAGCCGGAUUAAUACCGCAUACGCUCUACGGAGGAAAGGGGGGGAUCUUAGGACCUCCCGCUACAGGGGCGGCCGAUGGCAGAUUAGCUGGUUGGUGGGGUAAAGGCCUACCAAGGCGACGAUCUGUAGCUG